rnacentral:rRNA from 1 species
UACGUAGGGGGCAAGCGUUGUCCGGAAUUAUUGGGCGUAAAGAGCUCGUAGGCGGUCUGUCGCGUCGGCUGUGAAAACCCGGGGCUUAACCCCGGGCCUGCAGUGGGUACGGGCAGACUAGAGUGCGGUAGGGGAGACUGGAAUUCCUGGUGUAGCGGUGAAAUGCGCAGAUAUCGGGAGGAACACCGGUGGCGAAGGCGGUUCUCUGGGCCUUACCUGCGCUGAAGGAGCGAAAGCGUGGGAGCGAACAGG